AGCAGCCGCGGUAAUUCCAGCUCCAAUAGCGUAUAUUAAAGUUGUUGCAGUUAAAAAGCUCGUAGUUGAAUUUCGGAGUUUGUCGGUUGGUCGGGCUUCAUUGUCCGCACUGACCUGAUGGAUUCCUACCUUCUGAAUAACCAGCAUGCUAUUAAGUUAGUGCGUUGGGGAAGCAGAGCUAUUACCUUGAAAAAAUUAGAGUGCUUAAAGCGGGCUUAUGCUUGAAUAGAUUAGCAUGGAAUAAUAAAAUAGGACGGCAUGGUUCUAUUUUGUUGGUUUCUAGGAUCACCGUAAUGAUUAAUAGGGAUAGUUGGGGGCAUUAGUAUUCAAUUGUCAGAGGUGAAAUUCUUGGAUUUAUUGAAGACUAACUUCUGCGAAAGCAUUUGCCAAGGAUGUUUUCAUUAAUCAAGAACGAAAGUUAGGGGAUCGAAGACCAUCAGAUACCGUCGUACGUCCUAACCAUACAACUAUGCCGACUAGGGAUCGGACGAUGUCAAUUUU
rnacentral:rRNA from 1 species